CACUGACAGGUGGAUAAUAGAAAUGUUCUGGACAGUCAGAGGGCUGCUGGAGAUGACAUAUGAGAAGCUGAUAAUACCUGUGAAAUUUGGUCCUACCAUGAAGAAAUGGUUGUUAGUAUGGCACUCCAUCCUUCAGUAAAUAUGUUCCAUGUGGAUAUUUAUAGUCCUGCCUGCUCCCUUCAGUGAGAACAGGACGUUCUUCCUCCCAUAAGCUCUGUGCAGCUGCCAGGAGAGAUGGUGGAAGCCUUUCCUCCCCUCACCUACUGUGGAUGUUCAUUGGUUUCAGUCCCACAGCCCCUGCAAUAUCCAAGGAUCUGUAAGAGUGUUUGUCACUGCUGUUCAGCUGAGAAAUGUUUUAGGAAACAAUUACCAUCUGCCUACUGCCUGAAGAGCAAGAAAACCAAUAAGUUCUGGAAGGCAAGGUGA
rnacentral:lncRNA from 1 species